UAAAGGUUAACUGUUUAAUAACUUGAGUCAACAUUUUUGAAUUCCACCUCCAGAUUCGAAUGUGUCAACAGGAGCUUAUAGUAAAAUAUAAAUCUUGAUGGAAAUGAAAAAUUGUGUUUCCAGGAGAAGAAAGACUAUAAAAAUUACGCAAAGCGGGGACAAAAACGGCGUGCGCCGCCCGGGAAUCGAACCCGGGUCGCAAGAAUGGGAAUCUUGCAUGAUACCACUACACCAGCGGCGCUGACGGAAAUUGGUUCUGCUGAAAUACCUUAGGACCAAGUACACGCGGACGUUCGUUCCCAAAUGAGGAAGAUUUAUUCAUUUAAAAAUAGAAGUUUACCGAGAGUCUAUAUAAUCUGUUACUUUUCAGCUUAAAAGAGUUUCCGGGAAUUUCCUAACAGUCCAGCAUUUAGGACUCCACGCUUUCACUGCCGAAAUCAGGUUUAAUCUCUGGUUCAGAUCCCCCAAGUCACGCGGCGCAGCUGGAAAAAAAAAGACUCUCCGUACAGUUUUCCACAGUGACUAUACCAGUUGACAUUUCUACCAAUAGUACCCGGCUUCUCAGGUGGCACUAGUGCUGAAGAACCCACCUGCCAAUUCAGGAAGGAAGCAACCUAGAUGCCCAUCAGCAGAUGAAUGGAUAAGGAAGCUGUGGUACAUAUACACCAUGGAAUAUUACUCAGCCGUUAAAAAGAAUUCAUUUGAACCAGUCCUAAUGAGAUGGAUGAAACUGGAGCCCAUUAUACAGAGUGAAGUAAGCCAGAAAGAUAAAGAACAUUACAGCAUACUAACACAUAUAUAUGGAAUUUAGAAAGAUGGUAACGAUAACCCUAUAUGCAAAACAGAAAAAGAGGCACAGAAAUACAGAACAGACUUUUGAACUCUGUGGGAGAAUGUGAGGGUGGGAUAU